GACGAACGCUGGCGGCGUGCUUAACACAUGCAAGUCGAACGCUGAAGCUCAGCUUUUGUUGGGUGGAUGAGUGGCGAACGGGUGAGUAACACGUGAGUAACCUGCCUCCUUCUUUGGGAUAACGCCCGGAAACGGGUGCUAAUACUGGAUAUUCACUGGUCUUCGCAUGGGGGUUGGUGGAAAGGGUUUUUCUGGUGGGGGAUGGGCUCGCGGCCUAUCAGCUUGUUGGUGGGGUGAUGGCCUACCAAGGCUUUGACGGGUAGCCGGCCUGAGAGGGUGACCGGUCACAUUGGGACUGAGAUACGGACCAGACUCCUGCGGGAGGCAGCAGUGGGGAAUAUUGCACAAUGGGCGCAAGCCUGAUGCAGCGACGCCGCGUGGGGGAUGGAGGCCUUCGGGUUGUGAACCUCUUUCGCUCAUGGUCAAGCCGCAACAAUGGUUGUGGUGAGGGUAGUGGGUAAAGAAGCGCCGGCUAACUACGUG
rnacentral:rRNA from 1 species